UUAUGGCCAUAUCACGCUGAAACACCGGUUACCUCUACGAUCACUGAAGUUAAGCAAAAUCGAGCUUGGUCAGUAUUUUGAUAGGUGACCGCUGGAUAAUACCAGGGGAUGUAAG